ACAUGGGGCGCAGCCUGAUGCAGCCAUGCCGCGUGUGUGAAGAAGGCCUUAGGGUUGUAAAGCACUUUCAGCGAGGAGGAAGGGUUCAGUGUUAAUAGCACUGUACAUUGACGUUACUCGCAGAAGAAGCACCGGCUAACUCCGUGCCAGCAGCCGCGGUAA
rnacentral:rRNA from 1 species